GGAUAGUAUACUGUAAAUAGUUUUACAUCUGAACACAAGAACGCACAUCGCUAGGAAAUAUUUUACUAAAGAAAAUGAAUUUGCACUGAAUAAAAAGGCAUAUUUGCGCUGCACGAAUUUUAUGAAAUAUCACACUAUGAUUAAAAUAAAAACAAGUACCACGUCUCCAACAGAGCAGCAAAAGCAAAUGCUACAACACAUCCAGCACAUGCAGUUAUAUAUUCUUAAAUAAGACAAAAUAAAGACAAAAUACAAAGCACAUUUAAUCGCUCCGCUGCCAAAUACAAAGUAUUUUUUUUAUUAUAAAAAUAAAAGUGAUUCUUAUUUGCAAUGACCUAAUAAAUUAAAUUCAAUAAUGCAAUUCUCUGGACCUUAGAAAAUUUUCUGGAGAGAAAACAUAAAGCGAACACCAUCGAAAAAUAAGCAAAGUUUAAAAAAAUCAAAUAAAAAUCACGCACGCGUCACAUUGUGUGGGUUAGACCCUAUUUUGAACCGCUUCCACAAAAAGAAAACUGUAAGUUUCGUAAAUCGCCAACAUACCAGUAAGGCAUAAGCUGGACCUGGUGGUCAAACGUCCUCUACACUCAGAUGAAGUCAGGCUCGAAGAGAAGUGUAGGCCAACGCUUUAGGAGAAAUCAAGAAACCUAAAAUAAAAAUGUAAAAAAACCCCAAAACAAAACAACAACAAAAAAAGCAGAAUGUAAAUCAUCAGAAACUGAUUGGGAACAGAGCAGCAAGUCUAACAUUCACAGGGAGUAUACACCCGUUCACACACAUUCCCAAAACCACACAAACACGUGGUGAUCCAAGCACACCCUUAAAAACACAAACGACUAAAAACUAUAAGAAGCACAACAAUAAUAACACUAAUAGCAGAAAAAAAAAAACGCUAAAUCACAACCGAAAGUAAGAAGAAAACAUCCCCUUGUUCUCUCCUAGUUACGCACUCAUAACCCGUUGUCCAGUCCCCAUUUUCCGGGGUACAAAAACCUCAAAUCGGCUUUAAAAAAAAAGGUACGGCAAGAGAGAAAUGGCAAAAGGUUGAAUGCGGU
ensembl:lncRNA